GAUGAACGCUGGCGGCGUGCCUAAUACAUGCAAGUCGAGCGAACAGACGAGGAGCUUUCUCCUCUGACGUUAGCGGCGGACGGGUGAGUAACACGUGGAUAACCUACCUAUAAGACUGGGAUAACUUCGUGAAACCGGAGCUAAUACCGGAUAAUAUAUUGAACCGCGUGGUUCAAUAGUGAAAGACGCUUUUGCUGUCACUUAUAGAUGGAUCCGGGCCGGAUUAGCGAGUUGGUAAGGUAACGGCUUACCAAGGCAACGAUGCGUAGCCGACCUGAGAGGGUGAUCGGCCACACUGGAACUGAGACACGGUCCAGACUCCUACGGGAGGCAGCAGUAGGGAAUCUUCCGCAAUGGGCGAAAGCCUGACGGAGCAACGCCGCGUGAGUGAUGAAGGUCUUCGGAUCGUAAACCUCUGUUAUCAGGGAAGAACAAAUGUGUAAGUAACUAUGCACGUCUUGACGGUACCUACUCAGAAAGCAACGGCUAACUACGUG
rnacentral:rRNA from 1 species